rnacentral:lncRNA from 1 species
UUCCAAGUACAAAGUCACGCAGUAUUGGGCCUGCUGUUUCUACACCACCACGAGGUUAUACUUCCAGAGAACCUGUUGCAACACAGCGUACAGAGACCACUGUCACUUGGGAUUCACCAGGUAAGUUACCAACCAAAGGAGAUGGGUAAUAGAUUUCCAGCCAUUAGCAUCAUAUCUGUGUAUUUAAUAAGCACCUAUC